CCUUCCACUAUGGUCUACAUGGUAAAUUUUCUAACCUUAACAACAAUAGUACAAUUAUAGAAGUCGUGUGCCCCUUUGCAGGAAUGAGGGGGGGAGGGAGGGUGAGAGUCGUUUGGUAUGGACGUCGAAAUCCAUGUAGAACAGUUAUAAAAGUUAACAACAAUUAUAGACCUCAUUUUGCUCUGUGACAGAUUUCCUAACCUCAAUAGAUGCCAACUUUAAGACUUAAUAUCUCAGUCCGUGGAGCAGAGCAACUCUUUUUUUCUAUCAGAUUCUUUCAUUUUAUGCAAAAACGUCGAAUAAGCCUAAUUUGAUUUUGGAGAUGAUUGCACUAAACUGUAUAUCACUUUUAUACAUAAAUAUCUAAGAGAUUUUAAAUUCAAAUGAUUAAAGAAAUACAACCGGUCAAAAGAACACCAUGUUCCCUAGUAUUAUUAGUAUUUAUAUAGUAGUUGAGAACUUCUCGAAAAAAGAACAGACCUCUUCAGCAAUUAUUAAUUAAAUGACUUUAAUAAUCUAAGCACGAUAGUAUCAACAUAUAAAAAAAAAGAAAAACUGAUAGAAAGCCAUUUACUCAGAAGCAGUUGACAAAGCUAAAGAACAUAUUGCUGCAGAUCACAGAAGAGCUGCAGCUCGAUUUGUGGGAGCAAAUGAAGCAACAUUAGAAAGAGAUUAAAAGCAUGUUAUGCUGCGCUGCAGUAGAGUGCUUGGAAAUCGGCCACAAUCCAUACAAUCGAGAUUCUUUGUUAUCAAGCAAGACCGAGAUAAAUUCUGAUAAUAUAGAAAUUAAAACAGAUAUGUGUGCUGAUGAGAUGAUAAUAGAUGACAGCAGAAUACAAGAAUUCAAAAGAGAAUGGGAAGGAGAUAAGAUCCUUGGCUCAGCGGAUGACAAUGGAAAACUUAUGUACUUGAUACAAUGAUAUGUAGUACGUCCUACUGGUUAACGUGAUUAGUCAUCACCUGCCUCUAAUUGGCAAGAUGUCUGCAAAGAAUAAAAAAAAUCGAAGUUCAAAUCCUGAUCAAGGAAAGGAACGGAUGCAGUUGAUAUGGUGUCUGCCAGUGUUCUCAGAUUGUUAUUCAAUUUUAUGAGGAUAGAAUAACCUGGAAAAGGACAAAAAUAAAACCGUAAUGGAUUAGCUUCCUUGGAAAAGCCAGAUUCCACAUUUUUUGGAAAAUUGACUUUUAUUGUGAUGUAUGUAUGCAGUUAAAAUCUUAUUAUAAAUGUUUUGAAGC